AAUGAACGCUGGCGGCGCGCCUAAUACAUGCAAGUCGAGCGAGAAGACGUAGCAAUACGUUUGUAAAGCGGCGAACGGGUGAGGAAUACAUGGGUAACCUACCCUCGAGUGGGGAAUAACUAGCCGAAAGGUUAGCUAAUACCGCGUACGCUCCUUGGACUUCGGUUCAGGGAGGAAAGCGAUACCGUGGGUAUCGCGCUCUUGGUUGGGCUCAUGUCCUAUCAGCUUGUUGGUGAGGAACGGCUCACCAAGGCUUCGACGGGUAGCUGGUCUGAGAGGACGAUCAGCCACACUGGCACUGCGACACGGGCCAGACUCCUACGGGAGGCAGCAGUAAGGAAUAUCGCGCAAUGGGCGAAAGCCUGACGCAGCGACGCCGCGUGGGGGAUAAAGGU
rnacentral:rRNA from 1 species